CAGGCAGUUCAGCAGUCAUCACCAGAGCAGCAGCGAAAGCAGCUUCACAUAUUUUCCUCUCUUCGGUUUAGCCCGAGAUCGUCUUCGUCAGUUCGCCUCCUCAUUCUCAGUUCUCAAUGGCCGCCAAGGUGGCUUGCCAGGGGCCGCUGUACCUUCGCUAGGAAUCGGAAUUUCGCCCUCGACUGGUCACUGCUUGGGCAAAUGCCAGGACGACCCUGCUCCUGAAGAAGGGAGGAAGUUUGGCGAGAGACAAAUGCAGCAGUCGCGUUCUUGACACCACGCUGACGUGACGAUGUCCGCCGCGGCCGCCGUGAUCAGCCUGGUGCUGCUGGGGUCGGUGGCCCAGCUGGCCCAGGCCCAGUGCCCCCUCAAAUGCAGAUGCAUGGCAGUGAGCCACAGGCCCUACGUCGACUGCCGAGACCGAAAUUUCGAGAAACCUCCCACCACGGGUGACGACACCUACUUGGAGAUGAAUCUGUCAAGAAACAGGCUAAGACAUUUGGGAAGUUACUCUUUCGAGAAGUUUCCUCAACUGUUAAUCUUAGACCUAAGCUACAACUUCAUAGUGGAGUUACACGACGGUGUCUUCAAAGGCGCGGACAGGAUCGAGCACCUUGACCUCUCCAACAACUCCCUCGUGUUUGUCAGUCCGCACUUUCUGGAGAGCUGCCCUGGCAUACAGUUUCUUUCGCUUGCCAGGAACGAGUACAUAGGCAAAGUGAUCGAGACAGAAACUAAGAAGAUGGUUCAGAGUUUCUUGGUCGCCCCAAGUUUGCGGACGCUGGUGCUGUCCGAAUGCCAGAUAACAACCUUCCCGCAGUGGAUAGUGUCAGGCCUGCCCGGGCUUUCGACCUUAGACAUAUCAAAUAACAAAAUAAAAGUGUUGCCCGUGAUCAGUAUAGUGUCAGUGUGCAGGCUGAUGACGAUAAACUUGGAAAAUAACCCUUUUAAUUGUGAAGCCUGCGCUAACGCUGUUACAAAGAAUUAUUUUAUAGAGAAUAAGACAAAGUUUGACAAGAAUGGGACAUUCUGUCAGAGAAACGUGCGGCAGUGGUGCGAGUUAAACAUCACUCAGCAAGUGCAGGAAGUGAGGUCGAAGUGUCUUUUAACAAGAAUUCCUGAUCCUCUUCCUCGAGGGCAGCCUCGCUCGUUGUGGGUCUACAUCGGCGGCGCCUCAAUCGGCUUAGUUGCGCUCAUCUUCCUCGCGAUGUUAUUCAAUGGAUUGAUGUCAACGUGCAAACGCGAAACCUCGCCGCCGCCUUCCCCGGGCUCACCGCACUCACGGGCCGUGCAGAUGGAGCUAAAGGAAAUCCUUGGCCGGCCAGACAAUUUGUACAAGUGAGCUUGCUGAACGAUUGAUUAGUGUUUCACACGUGUCUUCCAUUACUCGUUCACUUUUAAUUAGGGUUGACGACGAUGAAGAUGACUCUGACAAUGAGCAUCUAGUUUAAAGGGUCAAAAUGUUGCCAGUACCUGACACUUCAAAGGUACAUUUUUCCCCACACGUAAUCCUUGUGUGAUCGUCCUUUCUAUGUUUUGGUAUUGUGACGUUGCGCGUUUUGCCAUCUUUUAUUCAGACUCAAGACUCAAGUGUGAGCCACUUUCCAUUUUCUGUUGCUCUAUGUAACUUUCUUAGGUGUGCAUCCUGCAUCGAAUAAGACAACUGUUGUAUUGUUAAAUGUUACAGUCAGUUAAGAAAAAGUAUGCAUGAAAUCCGUGCUUCCAUAUUCCAGGACCAACUUUAAAAUCAUUUAGCAAACACAUUAGACUUAUAAUCAAGUCUUUUCCUGAGAAUGAUGAGAUUUGACUUAAAAAAAUUUCCAGCCAUGUGAAUUAGCUCAAUUUUUUGGUACAUCAAAUUAAUAUAUAAGACUGGUUUUCAAAACAAAUAAUGGUCCUUGAAUUAUGGAUAUUGUUCUAAAAAGAGGCUGAUGUACUAAUGUAAUAUAAAAGGCACUCUAAGGUCUGGCCAGUUCUUAUUAACUUGCUGAGCUGCUAUUAGGAACAUGAAAUUUGCGUACUCUCAUAUAUCUGUUGUACCCAAAACUGUUGACAAUGUAACAUUCUUUGAAUAUUUUUCAUAAACACUCGGAUAUUUUCAAAUCCGGUUUAAUUUUAAGGCCUAUUUCUGGGUUAGGUUUAUUACCAACCGGGCGUUGGAGGAAUUAUUUAAGCUUGUAUAAAUCGACCAUUGCAACUGGACUGAACGCACAUUUCAACUGCAUUUAUAUCUCGGUGUAUCUAAAACAAUUUUUCUACAAGUAUUUUGAGCGAAGAUGCAAACUCUGGUGAAUGAAGACAGAAUCACAAUAAACUAGCACUUAUUUUUAAAA